GGAGGGAUGGCAGAGUGGUCGAUUGCGGCAGUCUUGAAAACUGUUGACUGUUACAGGUCCAGGGGUUCGAAUCCCUUUCCCUCCG
rnacentral:tRNA from 1 species